rnacentral:rRNA from 1 species
UACAGAGGUCCCAAGCGUUGUUCGGAUUCAUUGGGCGUAAAGGGUGCGUAGGCGGCGCGGUAAGUCGGGUGUGAAAUCUCGGAGCUUAACUCCGAAACUGCAUUCGAUACUGCCGUGCUUGAGGACUGGAGAGGAGACUGGAAUUUACGGUGUAGCGGUGAAAUGCGUAGAUAUCGUAAGGAAGACCAGUGGCGAAGGCGGGUCUCUGGACAGUUCCUGACGCUGAGGCACGAAGGCGUGGGGAGCGAACAGG